GACGGGGCCGCACAAGCGGCGGAGCAUGCGGUAUUAAUUCGAUGCAACGCGAAGAACUUACCAAGGCUUGACAUACACCGGUAACGCCCAGAGAUGGGUGCCCCUUUGUGGUCGGUGUACAGGUGGUGCAUGGUUGUCGUCAGCUCGUGUCGUGAGAUGUUGGGUUAAGUCCCGCAACGAGCGCAACCCUCGUCCUAUGUUGCCAGCGGGUCAUGCCGGGGACUCAUGGGAGACUGCCGGGGUCAACUCGGAGGAAGGUGGGGAUGACGUCAAAUCAUCAUGCCCCUUAUGUCUUGGGCUUCACGCAUGCUACAAUGGCCGGUACAAAGGGCUGCGAUACCGCGAGGUGGAGCGAAUUCCAGAAAGCCGGUCUCAGUUCGGAUUGGGGUCUGCAACUCGACCCCAUGAAGUCGGAGUCGCUAGUAAUCGCAGAUCAGCAACGCUGCGGUGAAUACGUUCCCGGGGCUU
rnacentral:rRNA from 1 species